rnacentral:sRNA from 1 species
UAUUCGUAUUCAAACAGAUCUUUGUGAAAUUUCCAGUCAACAAAAUUGUAACACUAACAUAUUUUCUAUUCAAAAUGUGUGAAUCUUGUCAAAAUUACUCCAAUGUAUUAUGUUUACAGUUUUUUGCAGUAUGGAACUUCGUCUGGGGUAUUCUUUUUUUGUGUUCGGGCACCUUCACUUUAUACGAAAUGCAUGUUGAUAAUAAACAGCAAGAGUUGUUUCUCUAUAUAUUUUUGUAUGCUACCUGUGUCACUGCGGUACUAUAUUCGUUGUCUGGAGUAUUAAUACUUAUUGGAGAUUGGAAGGAUAGUGCAUUUUUGUUCAAGUGUGGACUAAUUCUGAGCAAUCCAUUUCCAAUCGUGUCAAUCUUAACUAUAUAUAUACCGAUUGUGCACAUAAUUGCCUUGAUACGACUCUGCAAAUUUGCCCAAGUGCGCUGGAAAUGAUUUUGCGCCAUUUGUCACUUCUUCCACUUGCUUCAGACCAAAUGUCAUCGUCUUCAGUGUUCUGGAAGCCCAACAGUAACGCUCCACGAGUAUCUGUUCGAUUGAGUACUCAAAAUUGUGAAAGUAUUUAAAAUAUGUGGGUGUGUACAGCCCCAUACUUAUUCAAAUUCAAUCUAUUGGACAACGAGAGCAAGCCCACGGCAGUAUGUCCUGUCCGGUCUGGAUGGUUGGUUAGGUUGGUUAAGCUAUAAUUUUAAAAUUAGGUAGAUCGCUAUAAGUCUCUAAGUCCUAAGUGUUUUCCUAAUCAACCAUCGUUUUUGAUCUUUGAGAUCAGGUAGUACUCAUCAACGACAAAAUUCAACUAUGCUCCGUUCUCUUCAACUGAUCUUCGCGCUCUUUGCUUUCGGUCUGCGCUCUUAACUAAAGCCUGUUGGACUUCUCUUUGGACCUAAUCCGCUCGUUUAAAGAUCAGCUCUUAACUUACAGCAUUAACAUAUGCACUUUUCAUCUUCCUAUCUCAUAUAUUGAGUGAUAGGAGCUGUCGAUAUUCGUUGUUCUUUGAAUCGAUUAAUUCGAUUUCUGACUAAUUCAAAUUGGAAUAAAAUAAAUUUUGAUCCCGAGGCAA